rnacentral:misc_RNA from 1 species
GCCAUGAUGAUGGCUUCCUUUGUUGCUCUGUAGAGUCCACUGGUGCAUUUAUUGCGGUUUCAAGGUAUGCAAGUGCGACCCCAAUCCCACCUUCUGUUCUUAGCCGUGGCAUUGGCUGGCAGGGAGUUGCCAUUUUGCUUUCUGGUUUGUUUGGAACUGUGAAUGGAUCCUCAGUUUCUGUAGAGAAUGCUGGCCUUUUGGCCUU